rnacentral:misc_RNA from 1 species
UAAUAGUCAGUUUUUAGAUUUAUUAUUUCAAUUCAAGUGUUAAGUGCUCAGAUUUUCCUUUUUCAGACUCCAGUGUUGUUCAAGAAACGAUUAACGAAUCCUUCUGGAGGAAUUGUGUGAAUUUAUCUCAAAGUGAUGUGACUUUCAAUGAAAUUGUAUGUUCAGUUUUAGUUGUCAUACGCUGUUGAUUUCAACUUCAAUAAUCAAUUGACUUGACCGACGUGUUCCAAAGAUGAGAUCUUCAUGUGGUAAAAAUAUAUCUUGGUCCGAGGACGAGGUAAUAAAAUUUUUGAAGAUCUACAGAAAGUUAGAUGUACUGUGGGACAGUAGUACAUUGUAUUACAAAAGCCAAAAAAAGCAGUUGGAAGCGUACAAAUUGUUUUUAAAGAGUUUGAAUAAAGAGUACGUAACAUUGGAUGAUUUGAAGAGAAAAAUUAACUCAAUACGAACAACUUACACGAAGGAAUUGAACAAGAUGGCAAAAGAUGAAUUUUAUACGCCACGUAUAUUUUGGUUCAAGCUAGUCGACUCGUUCUUAAGGCGUGUUGUCAACCAGAGACUGAAUCUAACCUUAAAAGAUCAAGAAGAUUCAUCAGUAGAAUCAGAAACAGAAGAUAGCAAUGAUUACUUAAAAGUAACCUUUAUAGAGCAGGACCAGGAAACAUCAGAAACUUCUAAAAGAUCAUCAAAGAAAAAGUUACAAAGCUUUAAGAAUUCUACUACGUUCACUCCAUGUAAAGUAGAACGAAUGUCAAGUAAAUCAUCAGAUAGUGACUUUGAGGAUGAAUUUGACCAUUUCAGUCGAUCGUUAGCCAUCCAGCUACGGAAGUUGCCAGAAAUUGAUGCACUGGAUUUGAUGCAACAAAUACAACAAAUGAUACUCAUCAAAAAGCAGCAAGAACACCAAACACUGCAUUCAGAGCAACUAUAGUCAUCCCGCUAUGCAUGUUGCCAGAAUUUGAUGCAUUAGAGUUGAUGCAACAAAUACAACAAAUGGUAGUCAU